CUCCACAAGGUGGCAAUGUAACACCACGCAUCCCACCAUUUCCGCUGGCACAUGACUCCUGGUUGAAGUUUCCCUCAUCCCAAGAGUGGUGGUGGCCGUGGUUCUGUGCACCCAUUGUGGACAUGAAGGUGAGCCCAGCUCAGACUGAGGUCUUUUGGAAGUGCAAUUAUAUUAAGCAUGCUGGGCUGGCCACUAAGAUGAGUAAAACAGCUUGGGAGAAGAAAAGGUUUUCCCCUCUGAAAAACCCACCGAAGACCAAGAACCCCAGUUCACACAAUGCUUUUGGCAUCAGUGGACUCCUCCUUACCACACAUCGAGCAACUCUGCAGCAGCAUGGCAGCUCUGCAUCCUGGCACAAUCAAGUGUGAAGGUGUAGGGACAUCAAGAAAAGCAAGCUGCAUGUUCCUCCCCCUUGGCUCGCCUCUCCUAGCACUGCGAGACACAGAAGUUGAAAGUUAAGCUUUUGAGUUACCAGCAAUUUCCACUUUGGUGCAUUAUUGCCUUUGCUGCAGUGCUUUUAUAAGGCUGUUUAUAAGACAAUAGACAAUGGGAGAAGUUGCUGGGGUUCCCAGUAGACAUAUGUUGACAAUAAACCCCUGUAACAGAGGUCA
rnacentral:lncRNA from 1 species